CAGUCGCCGCGGGAAUACGAAGGGGGCUAGCGUUGUUCGGAUUUACUGGGCGUAAAGCGCACGUAGGCGGACUUUUAAGUCAGGGGUGAAAUCCCGGGGCUCAACCCCGGAACUGCCUUUGAUACUGGAAGUCUUGAGUAUGGUAGAGGUGAGUGGAAUUCCGAGUGUAGAGGUGAAAUUCGUAGAUAUUCGGAGGAACACCAGUGGCGAAGGCGGCUCACUGGACCAUUACUGACGCUGAGGUGCGAAAGCGUGGGGAGCAAACAGGAUUAGAGACCCGCGUAGUCCCUGUCUCUUAUAC
rnacentral:rRNA from 1 species